GCCCGGUGCGUGGGGCGCGCCUGCCUGACGCCAUCUUCGCCGAGCCCCCGGGCUGCCGCGCUCGCCGGCCUCGCAGUGGCUGGCCGGCUCCGACCGAGCACCCCGGGCAGCGGAGGCGAGACCCCGGGACCCUGCAGGAGAGACGGUGCUCUGGGCGUGGCCGUCGAGGGCCUGGACCAUAGCUCACGAACUUAAGAAGAAGAGAAAAAGACAACCAUAGCUGCUGGCGCGAGGCUUUGGGCGUCGAGGUGGAGCCUCGUCUGACGGAGCGCUGAACUGCAGAGACGGGGCUUGAGUUUGAAGAGACAGCUACCGAGCCGCAAGGGUCUCGGCAGCUGAAUACAGAAAAGCAUGAAAUUCCACAAAGACCUGGCAGAAGAACUAGAAUUCCUGAUGUGAAGGGGGAGGGAUGGAACUUGGUACUCUGGGUCUGAGCUUCUGAAGACCAGAUUUAUGAUCCCUGCUCACUGCUCACUCUGUUAGCUUCUCAAUUUCCUCACCUGUGAAAUGGGAGUCAUAAUAAUCCCUACCCCCCAGGGUUUGUGCCAGGAUUAAAUCAAUAUGAAAAUGCAUUGUUUAGCAGCAGCAGGCUCACUGACUCCAAGAAGGAACUACAGGAUUCAAAGGG